GCUCCCGUAGUCUAGUGGUCAAGGAUAGGGGCCUCUCGAGCCCCUGACGCGGGUUCAAAUCCGCCCGGCCA
rnacentral:tRNA from 1 species